rnacentral:lncRNA from 1 species
UUCUUCAAGGGGGAUACUGUUUCCCUUUCUGAGAAGAUAAUCAAUGACCCUCCAAGACUUGAGAGGAGUGACCUGAGUUUAGGAGAUAGUAGAACCCACCUAGAUCAUGGUCGUGCCAGCAAAUCCGUGUGAAUGCCACUGGAUUAAAAGAAGGAAGUUUAGUUGAAUGGUUACUACCCUCAUUCACAGGAGCAGUUAUCGGCACUUCCACUGAGGCAAUGGCAGUGGGAAAAGGAAGGCAAAUAUUUAUUCACCCAUCCAUAAACUCAUAAAAAUUGCCAACUUUACAGAGAAACUGUUUUUUCCGUUUUUGAAGAAAGCCUAGCUUGUCUACCUGGGAGCUCUUAUUCAAGCCUUCACUUAAGCUCUUGAAUCCUCCAACGAAGUGCUGCUCAAACCUUCUUGUCCCGAAUUACACUGUGUUCUUGGAUACACUUGCAUCCCACAUACAUU